rnacentral:ncRNA from 1 species
CCUGCCAAUUUUAAGCAUAUAAUUAAGUGGAGGAAAAGAAACUUACAAGGAUUCCCCUAGUAAUGGCGAGCGAACCAGGAAGAGCCCAACAUGAAAAUCGGGUGGCAGCGUCGCCUGAAUUGUAGUCUAUAGAAGUUUCCUUAGUGACAGACCGUGCCCAAGUCCCCUGGAAGGGGGCACCUGAGAGGGUGACAGCCCCAUCAGUCUAGGACCCUGCCACACCAUGAGGCGUUGUCGGGGAGUCAGGUUGUUUGGGAAUGCAGCCCUAAUCGGGUGGUAAAUUUUGUCCAAGGAUAAAUACGGGCGAGAGACCGAUAGUGAACAAGUAAUGUGAGGGAAAUAUGAAAAGGACUUUGAAAAGAGAGUUAAAGAGUGCUUGAAAUUGUCGGGAGGGAAGCAGAUGGAGGUCGACAAUGCGUCUCGGUCGGAUGCGGAAUAGCUCAAGCUGGUACGUUGCUUGAAUCGAGGUGUGAACCAGCACAUGCCGUUGAAUUAGCACAAGCGCGGGUGGAGUACUACCUAUUGGUUUGUCAUUGUGGAAGUUGAGGAACGAAGUGUACGCCCUUGGGGUGGGCCACUGUGCACCUGCAUGCUCAUGGUGUUGGUUGGCGGGUUUUCCAUUCGACCCAUCUUGAAACACAG